rnacentral:rRNA from 1 species
UCUGAACCAGCCAUGCCGCGUGGAGGAUGAAGGCCCUCUGGGUUGUAAGCUUCUUUUAUCUGGGACGAAACACUUCUUUUCUAAGGAGCUUGACGGUACCAGGUGAAUAAGCACCGGCUAACUCCGUGCCAGCAGCCGCGGUAAUACGGAGGGUGCAAGCGUUAUCCGGAUUCACUGGGUUUAAAGGGUGCGUAGGCGGACAUGUAAGUCCGUGGUGAAAUCUCCGAGCUUAACUCGGAAACUGCCAUGGAUACUAUAUGUCUUGAAUGUUGUGGAGGUUAGCGGAAUAUGUCAUGUAGCGGUGAAAUGCAUAGAUAUGACAUAGAACACCAAUUGCGAAGGCAGCUGGCUACACAAAUAUUGACGCUGAGGCACGAAAGCGUGGGGAUCAAACAGGAUUAGAUACCCUGGUAGUCCACGCCCUAAACGAUGAUUACUCGACAUACGCGAUACACAGUGUGUGUCUGAGCGAAAGCAUNAAGUAAUCCACCUGGGAAGUACGACCGGCAAGGUUGAAACUCAAAUGAAUUGACGG